GGAUGAGUUGAGGUUAGGGGUGAAAUGCCAAUCGAACCAAGAGCUAGCUGGUUCUCCCCGAAAUGCGUUUAGGCACAGCGUUGGAUUUAUCUUGCAGGAGGUAGAGCACUGGUUUUGUGCGGGCGUCGAAAUGAUGUACCAAACAAUGUCAAACUCCGAAUACCUGUAAUGUCAUUAUCCAGCAGUGAGGCUAUGAGUGAUAAGAUCCAUGGCCAAGAGGGAAACAGCCCAGAACGCCAGUUAAGGUCCCUAAUAUAUGCUAAGUGGUUAAGGAGGUAGAGUUACUGAGACAACCAGGAGGUUGGCUUAGAAGCAGCCAUCCCUUGAAAGAGUGCGUAAUAGCUCACUGGUCAAGUGACUCCGCGCCGAAAAUACACCGGGACUAAAGCAUAUAACCGAAGCUGCGUCAUAUAGUUUACUAUAUGGGUAGGGGAGCGUACUGUAGUAAGACGAAGCUAGAGUGAAAACACUAGUGGAUGAGGCAGUAGUGAGAAUGUCGGCAUAAGUAGCGAAAACAUUGGUGAGAAUCCAAUGCACCGAAAACCUAAGGUUUCCCACGGCAGGCUCGUCCGCGUGGGGUUAGUCGGAUCCUAAGCUCAGGCCAAACGGCGUAGGCGAUGGACAAUAGGUUGAUAUUCCUAUACUAUCUGAUAAUCGUUAUCAGAAGCGGAGGGACGCAAGAGGAUAAGCACGCAGUCGACUGGAAGAGACUGUAUAAGCGUGUAGCUAGGUUUGACAGGAAAAUCCGUCAAAUCGUUAAUGUGAGGCGUGAUGUGGAGAGUCUACGGACUCGAAGGUGUUGACUCCAAAUUGCCAAGAAAAUCUUCGCUCUCGAGAUUAUUGGGUAUCCGUACCGUAAACCGCCACAGGUAGGUUGGUAGAAAAUACUAAGGUGCGCGAGACAACUCUCGCUAAGGAACUCGGCAAAAUCACCUCGUAACUUCGGGAGAAGAGGUACCCUGGUAGCGUGAAGCGAUUUACUCGUGAAGCGUGAUAGGGUCGCAGUGAAUAGGCCCAAGCGACUGUUUACCAAAAACACAGGUCUCUGCUAAGUCGAUCAAGACGAUGUAUAGGGGCUGACGCCUGCCCGGUGUCGGAAGGUUACGCGGAAAUGUUAGAAGCAAUUCAAAGCAUCGAAGCUAAGCCCCGAUGAACGGCGGCCGUAACUAUAACGGUCCUAAGGUAGCGAAAUUCCUUGUCAGGUA
rnacentral:rRNA from 1 species